rnacentral:rRNA from 1 species
CAUCCCGAUGCUAUUUCUAGAGAUAGAAAGUUACUUCGGUACAUCGGUGACAGGUGGUGCAUGGUUGUCGUCAGCUCGUGUCGUGAGAUGUUGGGUUAAGUCCCGCAACGAGCGCAACCCCUAUUGUUAGUUGCCAUCAUUCAGUUGGGCACUCUAGCGAGACUGCCGGUAAUAAACCGGAGGAAGGUGGGGAUGACGUCAAAUCAUCAUGCCCCUUAUGACCUGGGCUACACACGUGCUACAAUGGUUGGUACAACGAGUUGCGAGUCGGUGACGGCGAGCUAAUCUCUUAAAGCCAAUCUCAGUUCGGAUUGUAGGCUGCAACUCGCCUACAUGAAGUCGGAAUCGCUAGUAAUCGCGGAUCAGCACGCCGCGGUGAAUACGUUCCCGGGCCUU